rnacentral:rRNA from 1 species
GACGAACGCUGGCGGCGUGCUUAACACAUGCAAGUCGAACGGAAAGGCCCUGCUUUUGUGGGGUGCUCGAGUGGCGAACGGGUGAGUAACACGUGAGUAACCUGCCCUUGACUUUGGGAUAACUUCAGGAAACUGGGGCUAAUAUCGGAUAGGAGCUCCUGCUGCAUGGUGGGGGUUGGAAAGUUUGGGCGGUUGGGGAUGGACUCGCGGCUUAUCAGCUUGUUGGUGGGGUAGUGGCUUACCCAGGCUUUGACGGGUAGCCGGCCUGAGUGGGUGACCGGCCACAUUGGGACUGAGAUACGGCCCAGACUCCUACGGUAGGCAGCAGUGGGGAAUAUUGCACAAUGGGCGGAAGCCUGAUGCAGCAACGCCGCGUGCGGGAUGACGGCCUUCGGGUUGUAAACCGCUUUCGCCUGUGACGAAGCGUGAGUGACGGUAAUGGGUAAAGAAGCACCGGCUAACUACGUG